ensembl:miRNA MIR3183 microRNA 3183
CUCUGCCCUGCCUCUCUCGGAGUCGCUCGGAGCAGUCACGUUGACGGAAUCCUCCGGCGCCUCCUCGAGGGAGGAGAGGCAGGG